UACGUAGGGGGCUAGCGUUGUCCGGAAUCAUUGGGCGUAAAGAGCGCGUAGGCGGCCAGAUAAGUCCGGUGUGAAAGUCAAAGGCUCAACCUUUGAAAGCCGAUGGAUACUGUGAAGCUAGAGUACGGAAGAGGCGAGUGGAAUUCCUGGUGUAGCGGUGGAAUGCGCAGAUAUCAGGAGGAACACCAAUAGCGAAGGCAGCUCGCUGGGACGUUACUGACACUGAGGCGCGAAAGCGUGGGGAGCGAACAGG
rnacentral:rRNA from 1 species